GUAACUGCCUGUAAUUUGUUUCAGGUAGUUGAUGUCACUUGGCGAUAUUCUUGUAAGCAUGAAGAGGUGAUCUCUAGGAGAACCAAGGUUAAAGAAGAAGUACUUCGAGAAACCAUUAAUGGGCUUAAUAAGCAGAGGCAACUCUCUUUGUCAGAGAACAGAAGAAAAGAACUUCUCCAGAGAAUAAUUGUGGAGCUUGUUGAAUUUAUAUCUCCCAAAACCCCAAAACCUGGAGAACUUGGUGGAAGAAUAUCUGGGUCAGUGGCUUGGAGAGUAGCCCGAGGUGAAAUGGGUCUAGAGGUAUUUAAUUUAUACUACUACAA